rnacentral:rRNA from 1 species
UACGUAGGGCGCGAGCGUUGUCCGGAUUUAUUGGGCGUAAAGAGCUCGUAGGCGGCUUGUCGCGUCGACUGUGAAAUCCCGCGGCUCAACUGCGGGUCUGCAGUCGAUACGGGCAGGCUAGAGUUCGGUAGGGGAGACUGGAAUUCCUGGUGUAGCGGUGAAAUGCGUAGAUAUCAGGAGGAACACCGAUGGCGAAGGCAGGUCUCUGGGCUGACACUGACGCUCAUGCACGAAAGCGUGGGGAGCAAACAGG